rnacentral:lncRNA from 10 species
GCGGGCAGUGCCGGCCGCGCCCCGCGACUCCCGGUAACCCGAGCCCGCCCCGCCCCGCUAGGGCCAGGCCCCGCCGCCACCCUCCGCGCUGGGACGCCGGGGCGCGGGCAUCCCUGCCGCCUACGGAUCUCUUCCCAAGCACCUAGAACUUUCCAAAGCGUGCUUGGAAUUUAACACCUUGGUCGUCGAUCCCCGCAAAUAUACUCUGAUGAGACCGGCUUUCUUCCCAUACCGCCCAGGAGUUUCUCCAGGUGGCAUUCCUGUCGCCUUGAGGUGGAACAUCAGUAGAGGCUCGAGGCUGAAGCAAGCACAAUACACAAGAGACUCCGAUUCGUACAGGAACAUUUCGAAAACAGGAAAUCCUGAGGACAAUGUGUAUCGUUUUCCAAAUCUUUGAGUAAACCGAAUGCUGCUCUAGGAAGAUUGCACUCCAUUGUAUUUAUCCUGCAGCUUUGUGUAACCUGUCAGCCCUGCACACCCAGCUGGUAUUUGUAUCUGGAUGAGAAGCGCAGCCUUUGGGAAGGCAGAACACUGGGGCAGAACUGGUGCCAACACCAGUCUUGGAUUGGGGUCUGUCAUUCAGGGCCUGUGAUUGAGUUUGGUACAUGCUAUGGUAUUAAGUCAAAGGAAAUCUGAGAUCUCUGAAUCAUUUACAGACACACUCCAAUUUCCUCCUGGAACAUGCAGUUGCCAUUUGGGGGCAUGGGUUGGUGAGAGGAGGGAGAAAAGGAGGGAAGAUGGGAGAGGGCACCAGGGCUGCAUGUAAAGCUCUGCCUCACACUGUCAGUUGUUUUCAGCUCACUGCAUGAACUCUGUAGAGAGGCCAGAUAAUUUCACAAAGUUUACCUUAAUUUGCAACCUACCUAGAGGAGACAUGGUCAGGCAGCUGGAUGGUGAUUCUUUUCCAGCUUGAGCUGUUGACAGAG